AAAAAAAAGUACCUACGUACCUAGCAUUCACAGUCCCCUAAUUAAAUUUGAUAAAACAAGUGGCGUUUUUUUGUUGUUGUUUGUUUUAGACAGAAUAGUUCCAGAGAUGCAAAGCAGUCCUUCUUUGCUACACAUCUAUAAAAACAAAAUGUGCAAAGUAAAAGAAAAUAUGUAGAUAACCAUCUUUUUGUUUUAUUCAGUGCGCUUACGUAGUCAAAACUGGCACUCGGAGGCAUUGGGGGGGGGGGGAAGAAAACACUGUACAGUAUAGAGAAAAAGAAAAAGAAAGCUCUGGUACCUAAAGUCACUGUUGUAAGAGUAUCUAAGCAGGAACACACUUU